GUUCAAGAGAUGACUACUUAUCCUGCACCAUAAAAGUACUAUAUGUAAGUUUAAGAAAUUUGAAUAGGAGUGCAUGUCCAUUGACUUCUUACAAGUGUUGUUAUUGCAGAUUUAUCAAUAAAAUGUGCACCAUUCACUUGUUGACAUUAAUCAGAAAGCUAUUUGAGCUAAAUUUGAUGCAAUUACAUCAUCCGUCAAUUAUCCGUUAACAGAUCAUAAGUGAAAAAAUUAAAAAUAUCUUUCAAAAUAAAGGCAAAUGGUAAUUAGUUUCUUGAAAUGUUAGCAGUUAAUUUAGUGAAAAGUCUAAGUUGACGAUAAAGUUUUGCCUAAAAAACAUAAUAGCACUUGCUGGACACUUUCUAUCAUUUUUUUAAAAAGAUAUAGAACACGAGAGCACAUUUGACCACUCAAUUACCACUCAUUGGCAAAUGCAUCUUAUCUUAUAAUGCUGACAAGUAUAAUGGAAUUACAAAAACGAAAUAAGAUUUUCUAAUAUUCUUAAGGAAUGUCGACAUGAUGAAUAAUUUGUUUACUCAUACACUUCAUAUUUCACAUUUUAGAACUUACGGUUGAUGGAUAACAAGGUUAAAGAAUAAUUAUAACCCAAGGAGACGAAUCUCUAAAAAUGGAAGCUCAAAAUCAGUUGUAAAUGACUCAAAUCAUGUUUAAAAGUGUCCAAGGAAGCAGUGUUACAUGAACACCGACUCGACUACUAGCAUCAUAUACACAGGGUAUUUUAUGUUUGAUAUUGACUAUCUGAGUGCUAUGCAGCCAGUGGAUUAUGGAACAUUUUGGUGAUAAAAGAGUCAGUGGCAUCAGUAUUUUGUAAAGAAAUUCAGAAC
rnacentral:lncRNA from 1 species